UGUGGACAGUGGGGACCUAGAAAUAAUUUUUUAAUAUUUCAAAAAAAUUUUAUUCAAUUUGAAAAGUUAAGGGACUUAAAAGUAAUUUUAAAUUCAUCCAGAGAUCUAUAGAUAAUUUUUUUUAUUUAUUUUUUAAAAAUACUAAUAUUAUUUUUAAAAAUAUUUUCCUAUAUACUUAUCCUUUACUUACUUCCUAUCUAUUAUCCAUUUUAACCUUGGAUUUGUGAAGUAUAAUUAUGUUAAAAUAUUCUUGCAGUCUCCGAACAAAAUUGUACCAUGCCCAAGAGCCAGCCUUUGUUCUCUUUCCAUGAAUUGCCCAUAUGGUCCCAUGGCUUCUUGGUACGAGCAUAUCCUUGUGUCCUC
rnacentral:lncRNA from 1 species